UACGUAGGGGGCGAGCGUUGUCCGGAGUUACUGGCGUAAAGGGCGCGCAGGCGGUCUGGUAAGUUUGGAGUGACAGUGCUCGGCUUAACUGAGCAAGGCCUUCGAAACUGCUAGACUUGAGCACUCAAGAGGGACAUAGAAUUCCGGGUGGAGUGGUGAAAUGCGCAGAUAUCAGGAGGAACACCAAUUGCGAAGGCAGCUCGCUGGAACGUUACUGACGCUGAGACGCGAAAGCGUGGGAGCAAACAGGAUGAGA
rnacentral:rRNA from 1 species